AUUGCUCGGUGGGAGGGAAGGUCUAUCAGGAUGGAGAAGAAAUUGAAGACACAAAGACUGACCCCUGUGUACUUUGUCGCUGCCAGAAAGGAAGUAUUGUUUGUUUUAAGAAAGCCUGUCCAGUUCUGCCUUGUCCAUCUAUCAGAUACACCCUGCAUUCGGGCGAAUGUUGUCCACGAUGUAGAGGUAGCCAGAAAAUCGAAGAUUUUAGCGGAAAGUGCUAUCUGGCGGCGACUAGUAUAA